rnacentral:lncRNA from 1 species
GGCAAAUCUGGGAAGACUUCCACAGAGGAGGUGGCAAGCCGGAACAAGGCACACAAAUGCCAGCUGAGUGGAAGGUCAACCAGUCCAACUUCUCAUGUUUCAGAAGAGGAAAGCAAGGUCUGGAGAGGGAACGUGGCUUGCCCAAGAUAUGUUUCAAACUUUGAUGAAAAGCAGGGAAGUUUGGGAAGAAAAUCCAAGACUUCUCUGGAGAGAGAUACCAGCCUGGAAGACAACGGAGCUGUCAUUCUGUUAAAAAAUUAAGAGAAGUACGCAGAACCUGCCUUUUUCUAAAUGAGAAGCUUUGGAAGCGACUGGACACUUUUGGC